UAAAAAGCUGUGGUUCAAGGACCACCACAGAAGAAGAGGUAGAAAGAAAGACUGUAGGAGACAGAGGUCAGGGAGGACUAGAACUAAACGAUUCUCCUGGACACUUAUGAGCUCAGAGCAGCCUACGGUUGCCUGCACAAGGCCAAACUGGCUGACAUUCUGGCAUGGGCUGGGAAGGGCUUCAUGAGCCCCCAACCCUGAGAAGCUGUGGACAACUGAUGGCUUCUAGAGGAGGAAGAGUCAGUGUUCCUAAAAGACUGAGAAACCAAGGCUAGGAAGAAUAGGGAGGACCCUAAACACAGCCUUGCGCUACCUCUGAAGAGAAUCGUCAUCGAACUCCGCCUUGAACUUCCACCUUGAACUCGGUAGAGUUGACACAGUGUAAUUUACUGCUUCAUUCUCGCCUGCCCCAGGUUAUUCUUGCUCUGUUCCCUGGCUAUUUGCAUCCAGUGGGAGUGGCUUGCCUUGGUCUUGGAUUUCUACAUGUAAUUACUCCACCGCUGUCCCCCAAAUUAUAAGGCUGUUGUUCAGCUCUCA